UACGGAGGGGCCUAGCGUUGUCCGGAUUUAUUGGGCGUAAAGAGCUCGUAGGCGGUUUGGUGAGUCGGGUGUGAAAUCUCCACGCUCAACGUGGAGGGGCCACCCGAUACUGCCAUGACUAGAGUCCGGUAGGGGAGCGUGGAAUUCCCGGUGUAGCGGUGGAAUGCGUAGAGAUCGGGAAGAACAUCAGUGGCGAAGGCGGCCUGCUGGGCUGUUGCUGACGCUGAGGCGCGACAGCGUGGGGAGCAAACAGG
rnacentral:rRNA from 1 species